UACGUAGGGGGCAAGCGUUGUCCGGAAUCAUUGGGCGUAAAGAGCGCGUAGGCGGCCCUGUAAGUCCGCUGUGAAAGUCAAGGGCUCAACCCUUGGAUGCCGGUGGAUACUGCAGGGCUAGAGUCCGGAAGAGGCGAGUGGAAUUCCUGGUGUAGCGGUGAAAUGCGCAGAUAUCAGGAGGAACACCAGUGGCGAAGGCGACUUCCUGGCCUGUUCUUGACGCUGAGGCGCGAAAGCUAGGGGAGCAAACGGG
rnacentral:rRNA from 1 species